rnacentral:rRNA from 1 species
AUUGAACGCUGGCGGCAUGCCUUACACAUGCAAGUCGAACGGCAGCGCGGGCUUCGGCCUGGCGGCGAGUGGCGGACGGGUGAGUAAUGCAUCGGAACGUGCCCAGGAGUGGGGGAUAACGUAGCGAAAGUUACGCUAAUACCGCAUACGUACUGAGGUAGAAAGCGGGGGAUCGAAAGACCUCGCGCUCAUGGAGCGGCCGAUGUCGGAUUAGCUAGUUGGCGGGGUAAAAGCCCACCAAGGCGACGAUCCGUAGCUGGUCUGAGAGGACGACCAGCCACACUGGGACUGAGACACGGCCCAGACUCCUACGGGAGGCAGCAGUGGGGAAUCUUGGACAAUGGGGGAAACCCUGAUCCAGCAAUGCCGCGUGUGGGAUGAAGGCCCUCGGGUUGUAAACCACUUUUGGCAGGAAAGAAAUCGCCUGUGCUAAUACCACGGGCGGAUGACGGUACCUGCAGAAUAAGCACCGGCUAACUACGUGCCAGCCGCCGCGGUAA